rnacentral:rRNA from 1 species
UACGGGGGGGUGAGCAGUCGUUGUCGGAAUUACUGGGCGUAAAGGGCGCGUAGGCGGUUUGUUAAGUUGGAUGUGAAAACUCUGGGCUUAACCCAGAGCCUGCAUCCAAAACUAGCAAGCUAGAGUUCUGGAGGGGAUAAUGGAAUUCCUGGUGUAGCGGUGAAAUGCGUAGAUAUCAGGAGGAACACCGGUGGCGAAGGCGGUUAUCUGGACAGAAACUGACGCUGAGGCGCGAAAGCUAGGGGAGCAAACAGG